GAACGAGGUAGCAAUACCGAGUGGCGAACGGGUGAGUAACACGUAGGUAGCCUGCCCUUAAGCUUGGGAUACCCAGAGGAAACUUGGCUAAUACCGGAUAACAACAGAGAAGGCAUCUCUUUGCUUGAAAGGCCCCUUCAAGGGUCACUUAAGGAUGGACCUGCGGCGCAUUAGCUAGUUGGUGAGAUAACAGCCCACCAAGGCGAGGAUGCGUAGCCGAACUGAGAGGUUGAUCGGCCACAUUGGAACUGAGACACGGUCCAAACUCCUACGGGAGGCAGCAGUAAGGAGUUUUCGGCAAUGGGGGAAACCCUGACCGAGCAACGCCGCGUGAGCGAUGACGGUCCUUUGGAUUUGUAAAGCUCUGUUGUAAGCCAUGAAUGACAGCUUGAGGAAAUGCAAGUUGUUUGACGACAGCUUACCAGAAAGCCACGGCUAACUACGUGCCAGCAGCAGC
rnacentral:rRNA from 1 species